rnacentral:rRNA from 1 species
UACGUAGGGUGCAAGCGUUGUCCGGAUUUAUUGGGCGUAAAGAGCUCGUAGGCGGUCUGUCGCGUCGGAUGUGAAAACCCGGGGCUUAACUCCGGGCCUGCAUUCGAUACGGGCAGACUAGAGUGUGGUAGGGGAGACUGGAACUCCUGGUGUAGCGGUGAAAUGCGCAGAUAUCAGGAAGAACACCGGUGGCGAAGGCGGGUCUCUGGGCCACUACUGACGCUGAGGAGCGAAAGCGUGGGGAGCAAACAGG